AUUGAACGCUGGCGGCAGGCUUAACACAUGCAAGUCGAGCGGAGAUGAGGUGCUUGCACCUUAUCUUAGCGGCGGACGGGUGAGUAAUGCUUAGGAAUCUGCCUAUUAGUGGGGGGCAACAUUCCGAAAGGAAUGCUAAUACCGCAUACGUCCUACGGGAGAAAGCAGGGGAUCUUCGGACCUUGCGCUAAUAGAUGAGCCUAAGUCGGAUUAGCUAGUUGGUGGGGUAAAGGCCUACCAAGGAGACGAUCUGUAGCGGGUCUGAGAGGAUGAUCCGCCACACUGGGAAUUGGACACGGCCCAGACUCCUACGGGAGGCAGCAGUGGGGAAUAUUAGACAAUGGGGGGAACCCUGAUCCAGCCAUGCCGCGUGUGUGAAGAAGGCCUUAUGGUUGUAAAGCACUUUAAGCGAGGAGGAGGCUACUGAGACUAAUACUCUUGGAUAGUGGACGUUACUCGCAGAAUAAGCACCGGCUAACUCUGUGCCAGCCGCCGCAGUAAGAC
rnacentral:rRNA from 1 species